CGCGAGGCAAGGACCGAAGAGAAGAGGAGCAACAUCAGCACGAUGAGUGGAGCUCCAGUGCUUGUUGAACAGUUUGAGAACGCUACCUUCAGCUAUAUUGGUUCCAUUGCGAGCCCAGAGUGUCCACACUAUUAAAGAGUUAGACCUUCGAUUCCACGAGCCCCUCGCAUGAGCAUGACUACUACCAUUCGCUCUCAUGAUGGCCGGAGCGCCUAUGGCGGGCGGUGGUAGGACACCUCUCUCAAUAAUUGAGGAGGCACUGCUGACUGGUCUCGUCGACCGAUGGCGAUAUAAGACACACAUGUUUCACUUUUAUUUUGGCGAGAUGACCGUAACAUCGAGGGACAUGGCCAUGUUGAAUGGGCUACCAAUCAGGGGUGCCCCAUUAGUAGUUUCGUGACCAGUAAGGGAGCAGUUGAAGGGUUAUGUUGAGGGCAGGUUUGGUAUGCAAUAUGAUAUGAAGGAUAUUGGCCUCUCCAUGUCUUGGAUUUAUGGGCUGUCACAAUUAAGCCCAUGACCAUCGUAUGCGGACGAGGCUACACUUAUGCAGCACUAUGAGUUGUACUUGUAUGUCCUACUUGGAGGCAUCAUGUUAUGUAACACGGUAGGCGAUU